UAAUAUCACAUUCCCAAACACCUGUCAUGGGUGAUUGGGCCCUCAAUGUGGACUUGGCUGUUCCAGUUCAGUGCGAGUUGACUAUUGACUAACAAUCAAUAAGACGCUCGGCAAGCACCCUGGAUCGGCUGAAGAACAGAGGCUAACAAGGACUCUUCAAGGGUCGCAACUGAGUAGGCACUUGUUGCUAAUUACUUUAGUUGUUGGCCUGAGACCUUCUGUUCAGCCCUCCAUCAGGAAACCUAUUAUUAACCUAUUAUCUCGACCUGAGCUCAGGCAAGAACACCCGCUGAACUUAAGCAUAUCAAUAAGCGGAGGAAAAGAAACUAACAAGGAUUCCCCUAGUAACGGCGAGUGAAACGGGACAAGCCCAACUUGAAAAUCUGCCUUUGCAGAAUUGUAGUCUAUAGAAGUGCCCUCUGUGGCGGUCGGAACCCAAGUUCGCUGGAAAGCGGCAUCAGAGAGGGUGAGAAUCCCGUCGGUUCCUGACUUAGCUGCUUCACGAGGUACUUUCCACGAGUCGGGUUGUUUGGGAAUGCAGCCCAAAAUGGGAGGUAAAUCCCUUCUAAGGCUAAAUAUUGGCGAGAGACCGAUAGCGAACAAGUACCGUGAGGGAAAGAUGAAAAGAACUUUGAAAAGAGAGUUAAAAAGUGCUUGAAAUUGUUGAGAGGGAAGCGAUUGGAGGAUGUGGGUGCGCCCAGGCUUAUGCUAUUCUAACGAAUGGCUGUAUGUGCUGGGUGCUGGUCAGCAUGGGUUCGCUUGGCGGGAUAACAGCAGGGGUUGAUACCUUGUCUAUGCCGCCGAGUGGACCAAGGUGUGAAUGGCGCUCGGUCCUUCGGGAACUGCGUCAUCAAGAUGCUGGCAGAAGUCCUUCAAUCGGCCCGUCUUGAAACACGGACCAAGGAGUCUAACAUGUAUGCGAGUUGGUGGGUGGAAAACCUAUGAAGCGCAAGUAAACUGACUGGUGGGAUGGCCUGUGCCUGCACCAUCGACCGACCAUGAUCUUCUGUGAAAGGUUUGAGUGCGA
rnacentral:misc_RNA from 1 species